GCGGCAUGAAAAUGUGAAACCUCUCCCGCUAGAAAUAGAAUCUGCUGGGGGGUUCACAUUUUUAAGUUGU
rnacentral:pre_miRNA from 1 species